CAGACUGGCAGCAGGCGCACGUAACAGCAAGCUCCGCGCACCCAGGUGAGCACUCUCACUAGAAAAACUCACUCGCUGUUUCACCCAAAUAUGAAGAAAUCAACAACAAAAUAUAUCAAAUCAUAAAUAAAUGAUAAUUUAACAAUAAAUAUGGAACGCUUCACGAAUUUGCGUGUCAUCCUUGCGCAGGGGCCAUGCUAAUCUUCUCUGUAUCGUUCCAAUUUUUUAUACGUGCUAUCGAGAUAACACAACUAUACUCUGUUCCUGAGGGGUAUAUGAGGCCUUCUACCCGCAGAGGGCCUCUAUCAAGGUGCUGGAGCCGGGACCACGUGAGGGAACCGACAACCGGGUUUAAACGCCCCUCUCUCUGGGUUCUGCCCGCCCUGCUGAGGAACCCAAGAGGCUGCUGGGAAAUCUAGGCGGAGAGGCCGUCUACGUCACUGGGUCAGGAUUGGUGAGCGGCCGACGAGAGGACAGAAGGAUCUCUCACAGCUCCGCCCACAUUCCUGAGACGGGAGGAGGAGAGAGCGAGAGAGAGGUUGAGGAUCCACAACGACAGAAGUGUGUUUUAAACAACCAGGACUGUUUCUAUUCUCUCUUCACAUUAUGUGGGUUCUUCCUGCUUUACUACUUCCUGUUUUUAUUUGGUGCAGUUUCACAAACUCACCAGCAGGCGGCGCACUAUGACCGCUGUGUGGAGAGAGAGGCGCUGCGGAACGAGGGAAACGAAAUGAAAAUGUGUAAAUUAUGUUGCUCUUUAGUAUUUGUCAUUAAUAAAUGUUAUAAAUGCUUAACACGGUGUAAAAAUAAAGUAAAUAAACGUAUUGUAACGUU